AAAGUUCUUUACGAUGAAGAACUAGCGAUUCACAUCGACCCCGAGUCAUGCGGUGGCACUCGCGAGGGUGUCACCGAAGCGUUAUCGGGGGCCGCAGCGUACCAGACUG
rfam:Candidatus Burkholderia humilis strain TZHbot5 BHTMctg14, whole genome shotgun sequence.